rfam:Trichobilharzia regenti genome assembly, scaffold: TRE_scaffold0047884
GUCCUGCUGAAGAGUCUCAAACUAGGACGAAACAGCUGUCCAGUAC